GCUAAGAAUGAGCUUUCCGUUUGCUAGCACUCGCUUUCCUUGAUAAUGAGUUCCCCCUGCCGGAUAUAAACAUGAACGGCAACGUUACUCCGGGGUUCACCGGGGGACACACGCACCGUCUGCCCUACAUAACAUGCACCCAUUGUAGGCCGAGGUGUCAGCUGAGGACGACAUGCAACCUAGAAACGGCGGUUUCGCCACUCCUUCCCUUUGUCAGUCGUAUUGUAAACGUUGGCUAAGGGUCUUCUGAUAUAAAAACAUUCCAAAAAUACAUCUUAACAUCGAAAGAACGGCAGAGUUGAUAGUACUGCAACCGUCCGAAUGUUUUUUUAUCGACGUUUUGAACAACCCGUGUCUUCCAGAUCCCUCACCAUUCUUUCUAGAAGGCGCUGUCCCAGGCAACUGUUUGUCUCUUCUCCCAAUGACAUCAUCCGAUCUUUUGUAUACAGUUGUCAGGGGUUACUUGACGACAUUUCAAGCGAUGAAAUAGUCCUGCCCUAUAUAAGAUACGUGGUCCCAUUUCCGAAUUAACGUUAAAAAAGGACUAAAUACGCUUUAUCUUUAUUUUGAACAAAGGACACCACGGAGAAGCUGGUUUUUGAUAGGCCAGAUGAUCCACCUCAGUUCAUGUUAGAACAGAGUGUAGUCCAUCAUUAGACCAAGGUGAUGCAGGCAGAGAUCAGUGAGGUGCAUCGCAGUUCAACUGGCAGGUCAUUUCAAUGAGGUCUCUCCUAAGUCCAAGGUUCAGGCAGUGGCAUAUGAAGUAUCCCAUGUCUUAUGGUUGGAGUUGGCAUCAGUUCAUCUCCUGAAGUCCAUCGUAAUAGACUGAAGUGAUGACUGGCUGGCACCGGCAUUUAGUCAUCUUCACUCACAUCACAUCAGACAUGUAGCAGUGGAGUCCGACACCAAGCAGGAACGGAGCUGGAUCUGGCCAGCUCUGACCUCGAAUAAUGCAAACCUGGAGAGGCCUUCGAGCCAAAUUUGGUGGAAGAUCGGCGAUGAUCUGGGGGUUCUUCAGCAAGGCUGGAAUUGGGCAGAUUCGUCUUUGUGAAGGAUGCAUGAAUCAAGCCGUGUACAAGGUUAUAUCAAAACAUAUGAUGAUACUGGAAUUUACGAUUGGAGGAUAGAAUAAAAAAAAUAAUAAUAAUCUAAGAGAAAUUUGAACUAAUUAGACUUUUGACUCGAGCCUUAAUAGUUACUGAGAUAUAGCCCUUGUGACUUACCGUGUAUCAGCUAGCCCCUGUCUCCUCUAUUAUAUUAAUAAAUUACAUGUUUGUGUAGCUGUGAACUAUCACUAAUCACUAUUUACUAAAAAACAUUUGCAGGUACAAAUGAAGAUCAAAAUCCGAGAUGAGCCGAGCAAUACAUUUAAGAUAGCAAGAAUUCCAAAGUAACAAGGGCAAUGCAAGGAACUGAAUUCAAGUUUGUUCUCUUUUAUUUUCUUAUUUGAGGUGUAUUGGUUGCAGGUGCUUCAGUGACUCAGCAUUCUUGUUGUUUCCAAGCAACUGUCUUCAUUUUUGUAUUGUAUUUUUUUACUUGACUGAGUUUGAACUUUCUCUUGAUUUGCCACAAUUUUUAGAAGAUGUUAUUCAUUUUCAGUCAAAUUGUGAUAUAGACUUCAAAAGAGCCAUGGAAUGGAUGAAUUUUUAUGCAUUUUCGUACACAAUUCACUGAUUAUUAACUUCUAGCCUAUACAUUUUGGAAGUCUUUUCAAGUAAAUUGCUGGUUGGACAUUUGCCAUUUGCAAAAAAAGUAGCUGGCUUUUACUCUCUACUCAAAUUUCCAUCAAGAAUUUUGGCUGCAUAAGUAAAGGAAGUCUUUGUUUAUAGUAGGCUCUUCUUACAGUGCAUUUCUAUAGCUAUCUACAUUCCCUCUGAAGCAACAUCUGGUGUUUCAAGACCAGUUUAGCAAUUGCUUUAACGAUAUUUUGAAAUAAGUCUAAAAACACUGCAAAAGAAUCGUUAAGGGUUCAUUUUACUAGUGUUUCGGAGGAUGCAUUGGUAUGUAAUGACAAGAUGUUUUUCCUUCAUUUCUGUCUCAGUCUAGUAUGGCACUUGCAUUUCAUCUCUACUUUUUUAGGACAUUGCAAUGAUAAUAUUCACUGUGGUUCUGACAUUCACACCGUCCAAGCUGUCAUUAUUUUUUUUACUUGUUUUAUUAAACAGUAGUACAUUGUC